GUAGGUAUAGUUUAAAGAAAACGUUAGAUUGUGAUUCUGAAAAUGGAGGUUAGAACCCUUUUAUCCACC
rnacentral:tRNA from 1 species